rnacentral:tRNA from 1 species
GGAAAUGUGGCUUACUGGUAGAGUGCUUGCCUAGCAUGCAUGAAGCCCUGGGUUUGAUUCUCAGUACCA